GUCAGAAUGUGAAAUGCAACUUCAAAGCCGCACAGGAAGCCGCUCUUCACCAGGAGUUUUAAUGUCACUGCAGAGACAUCCUUGACUCUGACAGAGCUUUGGAAGAAACACUUCAGUGUCCUCCAUCAUGUCAACCUCACUGACAAGGCCUGGGAAGAUCUCACUGAAUGUGACUUUGCAAGGUACCAAAGCCAGCAUUCUCAUCAGGGGAGUAAAUCACUCUGAGGCGUUCAGCACC
rnacentral:lncRNA from 1 species